GGUUUGUGGCUCAGUGGUAGAGUGCUUACCUAGCACAUGUGAGGCACUGAGUUCAAUCCUCAGCACCA
rnacentral:tRNA from 1 species